CGAAGGACUGACUGGCAGAAUGACUCCCUUUUAUCAGUAGUGUUGUGGCCAAAUGGUGUGAACUCUGAGCCACUAACUAGUUGGCGUGACUUUGCCCCAUAGAAGUGUGUAUUUGGGAGAGGGGAGUGAUGUUAAACCUGCCUGACAGUCGAGCGCAUCCUCGAUCGGGAAGAAAUACUCUUAAGGCAGUCAGGUUGUCCCUUCUGGAAAAUGAAGACGAAAACAUCCCGUAGGAAGAGGAAAUGCCCGCAGGACCCCUACCGCUACACCCCACGCCCGUGCCGCACUCCUCUGACACCUGGAACCCCAGCCUCAAGCCCAG
rnacentral:lncRNA from 1 species